rnacentral:rRNA from 1 species
GACGAACGCUGGCGGCGUGCUUAACACAUGCAAGUCGAACGGAAAGGCCCUGCUUUUGUGGGGUGCUCGAGUGGCGAACGGGUGAGUAACACGUGAGUAACCUGCCCUUGACUUUGGGAUAACUUCAGGAAACUGGGGCUAAUACCGGAUAGGAGCUCCUGCUGCAUGGUGGGGGUUGGAAAGUUUCGGCGGUUGGGGAUGGACUCGCGGCUUAUCAGCUUGUUGGUGGGGUAGUGGCUUACCAAGGCUUUGACGGGUAGCCGGCCUGAGAGGGUGACCGGCCACAUUGGGACUGAGAUACGGCCCAGACUCCUACGGGAGGCAGCAGAGGGGAAUAUUGCACAAUGGGCGGAAGCCUGAUGCAGCAACGCCGUGUGCGGGAUGACGGCCUUCGGGUUGUAAACCGCUUUCGCCUGUGACGAAGCGUGAGUGACGGUAAUGGGUAAAGAAGCACCGGCUAACUACGUG